AUACUUUAUUCUCCACUGAGAGUCAAGCUAUUCAGCACAACUUCCUCCCCCACUUCACUCCUGCCACCCGUGCUCAUUCCCUGCAUUUAUCAAGACUUUCGCAUCUGGUGACAGCCUUCCUCGUCUCCCUAGCUCCUGUUAUUUAGUCAAGGAUUUGGUUUCAUAUCUUUUUAGUUAUGGAAACUUUCAUUUUGCCAGUCCCCUAUCCGUCUAAUUUGUUUAUUAACAGUUUAUUUGUUCAUUUGUUCAUUCAGUCGCUCAUCUAAAAUGUGUAAUAAGCCCCCAUGAUAUGAUAGGAACUUAAUAAAAGUGCCUGGUAUUAUUGGGUACCACAAGGAAUAACACAAAUAGAUACCCUCCUUUCAUUGAGCUUAUAUUAGUGAGGAGAUAGAUAGAGGAGGCAAGUCUCAAGGGUAUGCAAAUAAUUAAAAUGGAAUCAUGUAGUAGAGAGUCUCCUGAAAAAGCCUUUGUAAGGGGAAGACAUUUAAGGGUCCAUCUAAAUGACCAAGGCUCUGGGGUUCAAGGUAUCUUGGCAUUCUGUGGUUGGAAAGAAAGCCAGAGUGAUGGGACAUUAAAGGUGAAAAGGAAGUUGGCACAUUUUGAGGGCAGAGGUGCAGGUGAAUGGUUGGGUUUAGGGGCUUUAUAGACCAGAGUAUGUGGUUGAGAACCCUGCCCCUGAACCUCAUUACAGACUGAGCUGCUUCCUGACCGAUUAUCCUAUCAGCUUAUGUCUCCAAACACUACCUCCUGGGGUUGCCACCACCGUACUCCCCAACUCUGCACUUAUUACAGGUUACCGUAAUUGUGAGUCUGGGUUCUGCCUGCCAGUCUGAAUUUUCUCCCAGAACCAGCAGGUGAGUCUAGUACCCUGAUAUCUAUCCCUGCCAUCUCUGGAGCAGCGGGUGGUUCUAGUUCUGAGUCUAUUGAAGAUGGUUCAGCCCUUUAUACCCAGCUCCGUUUGGAGAAAAUAUUGCUGAGAAGUUCAGUGUUUAGUGGAAAUAGAGUAACAUCCUAAUGGUGUGGAGAGGAUUCAAGAAUUUUCUCUUGAGAGUAGACUAAAUAAUAUUUGAAAGACCUUUACACUUUGGGAAAUCUGUAAUUUAACACCAAUUUACUUUAGCUUUUAAAAAAAUGCAUGAGAGAUUCUCAUGGUAAGCAUGUUGGAAAACCAAUCGUUAUGGGGUUUGUUUUGUCUUGUUUUAACUGUAAUACUUUCUUUCUCAGCACUUUCAUUACCACUGUCAGGAAUGGGUUUCAGAAACCACAAAAAAUUUCAUGGAAGAGACAGGAAAAGAAACUCUUGAAAGAAUUUCACACUGAAUGGAAAAGUUCCUUCUAGUCAUCUUCGAGUGAGCUAGUUCUCAAACAUUAUUCUCUGUAGUCUUCCUGAGAACUCAGACUACUGGUAUGACCCUGCUUGGAAUAUGACUGCUGGGUUCUAGCAAUGUGUUGAUCCCGGCCCCAAGACCCGCCCACGAAAAUGAUUAUUUUAACCCUGAGGACCUAGAUGUGGCCAGUCUUUGCUGGGACCACUGUUGUCAUCAUCAUCGUCACCAUCUAACACCGGCUUUUAUCAAGGGUUGCUCCCUGAGCCUGGAUGCCAGUCAUUCGCCUCUCCCUGGCGAAAGUAAUAAAUCAUAGCGAGAAACUGACUGCUUUUGAAGAAUAUAGAAGAUAAAGAAACUGAGUGUUUGAGAACUGGAAGGUGGCAAAAAGCAGCAGGAGGCGAAGAGGAAAAGAUCAAGUGGAAAGAGUCACCACCAUGUGUACUUUGCUCAGCUUGGAACUUGAACCCUUCUACAGAGAUCACGUCUGUCUGAGCCUCUUGAAUCGCCAACCUUGUGAUAAACAAUAGGUAAAUGUAUC